UUGCGCCCAAGCCUCUAGGCCGAGGGCACGUCUGCCUGGGUGUCACGCAUCUUUGCCCCACCCCCUCCCUGCAUCCUUGUGCGGGCCGUGGCGGUGGGGCGGAUAUUGGCCUCCCGUGCGCUCUGAGCGCGCGGUUGGCCUAAAUACUAGUCCCCGGUAUUGGUGCCGCGACGAUCGGUGGUGUCGAAAGACCUCCUCAGAGCGCGUCGCGCGCCGUUCGGGACUCGAGGACCCUAGCGCCAUGCGCUCGCUUCGCGACCCCAGGUCAGGCGGGACUACCCGCUGAGUUUAAAGCNUAUCAAUAAGCGGAGGAAAAGAAACUACCAAG
rnacentral:rRNA from 1 species